rnacentral:lncRNA from 1 species
GCGGAAUCUGUUGCAGAGAGUGGAGUAAGGUAGUGGCCAUUGUCGUGACUUGCUAGAGAGUUCGGAUCUGUCGGUGAGAGCUCGGCUGCAAUGUCUGACGGAGCGGAAUGGCUCUCUAUCUCGUCGGUCUAGGGGAAGCUCGGAUGUUUUUGAGGUUGUGACGGGUUUAUUGUUGUUGGGUGCCUAGAGCACUGGUGCUGUAGGCGGGAACCAUCUGCUGUAGAAGCUCGGACGGGGACUUUCAGUUGGGAAAGUCCAGGUUCAUGAAGAAUCU